rnacentral:rRNA from 1 species
UACGUAGGGGGCAAGCGUUGUCCGGAAUCAUUGGGCGUAAAGCGCGUGUAGGCGGCUCGGUAAGUCUGCUGUGAAAGCCCAGGGCUCAACCCUGGGAUGCCGGUGGAUACUGUCGAGCUCGAGUCCGGAAGAGGCGAGUGGAAUUCCUGGUGUAGCGGUGAAAUGCGCAGAUAUCAGGAGGAACACCAAUAGCGAAGGCAGCUCGCUGGGACGUUACUGACACUGAGGCGCGAAAGCGUGGGGAGCGAACAGG